rnacentral:rRNA from 1 species
GACGAACGCUGGCGGCGUGCUUAACACAUGCAAGUCGAACGGAAAGGCCCUGCUUUUGUGGGGUGCUCGAGUGGCGAACGGGUGAGUAACACGUGAGUAACCUGCCCUUGACUUUGGGAUAACUUCAGGAAACUGGGGCUAAUACCGGAUAGGAGCUCCUGCUGCAUGGUGGGGGUUGGAAAGUUUCGGCGGUUGGGGAUGGACUCGCGGCUUAUCAGCUUGUUGGUGGGGUAGUGGCUUACCAAGGCUUUGACGGGUAGCCGGCCUGAGAGGGUGACCGGCCACAUUGGGACUGAGAUACGGCCCAGACUCCUACGGGAGGCAGCAGUGGGGAAUAUUGCAAAAUGGGCGGAAGCCUGAUGCAGCAACGCCGCGUGCGGGAUGACGGCCUUCGGGUUGUAAACCGCUUCCGCCUGUGACGAAGCGUGAGUGACGGUAAUGGGUAAAGAAGCACCGGCUAACUACGUG